rnacentral:rRNA from 1 species
AGAAUCAACGCUGGCGGCGUGCCUAACACAUGCAAGUCGAGCGCGAAAGGGGAGCAAUCCCCGAGUGGAGCGGCGAACGGGUGAGUAACGCGUGGGUAAUCUACCUCCGAGUGGGGAACAACAGCGGGAAACUGCUGCUAAUACCGCAUGACAUCGUCGAGCCUUCGGGUCUGACGAUCAAAGCCGGGGACCGCAAGGCCUGGCGCUUGGAGAGGAGCCCGCGUCCGAUUAGCUAGUUGCGGGGUAAUGGCCCACCAAGGCUCCGAUCGGUAGCCGGCCUGAGAGGGCGACGGGCCACGACUGGGACUGGAGACACGGCCCAGACUCCUACGGAGGCAGCAGUGGGAAUUUUCGCAAUGGGGAAACCCUGACGAAGCAACGCCGCGUGGAGGAUGAAGGCCUUAGGGUCGUAAACGUCCGUAGUCGACCGGACGUAACGGCUAGUUGGCCCAAGUACGCCCGAUAGUCGACUCGGUACCGUGGAGGAACGCCACGGCUAACUCCUAGUCGCCAGCGUAGCCGCGGUAAUCGUA